rnacentral:lncRNA from 1 species
AUUCUAUCAAUGUGGUGCUUGUUGUGUCCGUGUGCGUGUCCGGUGGCAUAGAUGUGUUUGGGUUCGUCCUGCAAUUGGUUGCUGUCUGUGGUGUGCUCGUGUGCUCGUUUGGAAUGGAAGCGGAAUGCAGCUGCUUUGUGUGAUGCAGGGUCGGGGGACCAAUACGGUGUUGGGACCGGCUGGUGGGAGGGUUUGCGAUGUGCCGCUGUUUUCGGCUCGCGCCUCUCUACUUGUGCACUUGUGUCAAGAAAAUGUAUGUUAUUUUUAUCGAGUUGUUCUCGGUUAGGCUUUGGGCCGUACUGAUGUG